rnacentral:rRNA from 1 species
GAUGAACGCUGGCGGCAUGCCUAAGACAUGCAAGUCGAACGAGAUGGCCCCUUGGAAGCGGAGUGCUUGCACAAAGUGGAAAAGGAUCACCAUCUAGUGGCAGACGGGUGAGUAACACGUGGGUGACCUACCUUUAUGAUGGGGAUAACAGUUGGAAACGACUGCUAAUACCGAAUAAGAUAUAACUGUCGAGGUUAUAUUGAAAGGAGCCUUUAAAGCUUCGCAUAGAGAUGGGCCUGCGGCGUAUUAACUAGUUGGUGGGUAAAGGCCUACCAAGGUAACGAUGCGUAGCCGAACUGAGAGGUUGAUCGGCCACACUGGGACUGAGACACGGCCCAGACUCCUACGGGAGACAGCAGUAGG